CCAAAGGCUCUUUUAAGGGCCACCUAUAUUCUCUUUAAAAAGAGCU
rfam:Otolemur garnettii contig175473, whole genome shotgun sequence.